rnacentral:tRNA from 1 species
GCGGGGAUGGCGGAACUGGCAGACGCACUUGAUUUAGGUUCAAGAAAUUGAGGGUUCGACUCCCUCUCUCCGUA